GACGAACGCUGGCGGCGUGCCUAAUACAUGCAAGUAGAACGCAUUUGCGAACGUGUGAGUAACGCGUAGGUAACUGCCUCAUAGCGGGGGAUAACUAUUUGAAACGAUAGCUAAUACCGCAUACUUUGAGCUGUACCUGCGUUGUAUUAGCUAGGUGGUGGGGUAAAGGCUCACCAAGGCGACGAUACAUAGCCGACCUGAGAGGGUGAACGGGCAAAUUGGGACUGAGACACGGCCCAGACUCCUACGGGAGGCAGCAGUAGGGAAUCUUCGGCAAUGGACGGAAGUCUGACCGAGCAACGCCGCGUGAGUGAAGAAGGUUUUCGGGUCGUAAAGCUCUGUUGUUAGGGAAGCGGUACCUAACCAGAAAGGGACGGCUAACUACGUGCCAGCCGCCGCGGUAAUAC
rnacentral:rRNA from 1 species